rnacentral:rRNA from 1 species
UACAGAGGGGGCAAGCGUUGUUCGGAAUUACUGGGCGUAAAGGGCGCGUAGGCGGCCUUCUAAGUCGAACGUGAAAUCCCUGGGCUCAACCCAGGAACUGCGUCCAAGACUGGGAGGCUUGAAUCCGGGAGAGGGGUGCGGAAUUCCAGGUGUAGCGGUGAAAUGCGUAGAUAUCUGGAGGAACACCGGUGGCGAAGGCGGCAUCCUGGACCGGUAUUGACACUGAGGCGCGAAAGCCAGGGGAGCAAACGGG